UACGGAGGGUGCGAGCGUUGUCCGGAAUCACUGGGCGUAAAGGGCGCGUAGGCGGCCUGAUAAGUAGGGGGUGAAAUCCUGCGGCUUAACCGCAGGGCUGCCUUCUAAACUGUCAGGCUCGAGCACAGUAGAGGCAGGUGGAAUUCCCGGUGUAGCGGUGGAAUGCGUAGAGAUCGGGAAGAACAUCAGUGGCGAAGGCGGCCUGCUGGGCUGUUGCUGGACGCUGAGGCGCGACAGCGUGGGGAGCAACAGGG
rnacentral:rRNA from 1 species